GACGAACGCUGGCGGCGUGCCUAAUACAUGCAAGUCGAGCGGUCCCUUCGGGGAUAGCGGCGGACGGGUGAGUAACACGUAGGCAACCUGCCUGUAAGACCGGAAUAACUAUCGGAAACGAUAGCUAAGACCGGAUAGCUGGUUUUCUCGCAUGAGAGAAUCAUGAAACACGGGGCAACCUGUGGCUUACAGAUGGGCCUGCGGCGCAUUAGCUAGUUGGUAGGGUAACGGCCUACCAAGGCGACGAUGCGUAGCCGACCUGAGAGGGUGACCAGCCAGCCUGGGACUGAGGCACGGCCCAGACUCCUACGGGAGGCAGCAGUAGGGAAUCUUCCGCAAUGGACGCAAGUCUGACGGAGCAACGCCGCGUGAGUGAUGAAGGUCUUCGGAUCGUAAAGCUCUGUUGCCCUAGACGAACAGCAAGGAGAGUAACUGCUCUUUGUGUGACGGUAUAGGAGAAGAAAGCCCCGGCUAACUACGUGCCAGCCGCCGCGGUAA
rnacentral:rRNA from 1 species